UAGGAUGAACGCUAGCUACAGGCUUAACACAUGCAAGUCGAGGGGCAUCAGGAAGAAAGCUUGCUUUCUUUGCUGGCGACCGGCGCACGGGUGAGUAACACGUAUCCAACCUGCCCUUUACUCGGGGAUAGCCUUUCGAAAGAAAGAUUAAUACCCGAUAGUAUAAUGAUUCCGCAUGGUUUCAUUAUUAAAGGAUUCCGGUAAAGGAUGGGGAUGCGUUCCAUUAGGUUGUUGGUGAGGUAACGGCCCACCAAGCCUUCGAUGGAUAGGGGUUCUGAGAGGAAGGUCCCCCACAUUGGAACUGAGACACGGUCCAAACUCCUACGGGAGGCAGCAGUGAGGAAUAUUGGUCAAUGGGCGCUAGCCUGAACCAGCCAAGUAGCGUGAAGGAUGAAGGCUCUAUGGGUCGUAAACUUCUUUUAUAUAAGAAUAAAGUGCAGUAUGUAUACUGUUUUGUAUGUAUUAUAUGAAUAAGGAUCGGCUAACUCCGUGCCAGCAGCCGCGGUAAUACGGAGGAUCCGAGCGUUAUCCGGAUUUAUUGGGUUUAAAGGGAGCGUAGGUGGACUGGUAAGUCAGUUGUGAAAGUUUGCGGCUCAACCGUAAAAUUGCAGUUGAUACUGUCAGUCUUGAGUACAGUAGAGGUGGGCGGAAUUCGUGGUGUAGCGGUGAAAUGCUUAGAUAUCACGAAGAACUCCGAUUGCGAAGGCAGCUCACUGGACUGCAACUGACACUGAUGCUCGAAAGUGUGGGUAUCAAACAGGAUUAGAUACCCUGGUAGUCCACACAGUAAACGAUGAAUACUCGCUGUUUGCGAUAUACAGUAAGCGGCCAAGCGAAAGCAUUAAGUAUUCCACCUGGGGAGUACGCCGGCAACGGUGAAACUCAAAGGAAUUGACGGGGGCCCGCACAAGCGGAGGAACAUGUGGUUUAAUUCGAUGAUACGCGAGGAACCUUACCCGGGCUUAAAUUGCAGUGGAAUGAUGUGGAAACAUGUCAGUGAGCAAUCACCGCUGUGAAGGUGCUGCAUGGUUGUCGUCAGCUCGUGCCGUGAGGUGUCGGCUUAAGUGCCAUAACGAGCGCAACCCUUAUCUUUAGUUACUAACAGGUUAUGCUGGGGACUCUAGAGAGACUGCCGUCGUAAGAUGUGAGGAAGGUGGGGAUGACGUCAAAUCAGCACGGCCCUUACGUCCGGGGCUACACACGUGUUACAAUGGGGGGUACAGAAGGCAGCUAGCGGGUGACCGUAUGCUAAUCCCAAAAGCCUCUCUCAGUUCGGAUCGAAGUCUGCAACCCGACUUCGUGAAGCUGGAUUCGCUAGUAAUCGCGCAUCAGCCACGGCGCGGUGAAUACGUUCCCGGGCCUUGUACACACCGCCCGUCAAGCCAUGGGAGCCGGGGGUACCUGAAGUACGUAACCGCAAGGAUCGUCCUAGGGUAAAACUG
rnacentral:rRNA from 1 species